rnacentral:rRNA from 1 species
CCUACGGGAGGCAGCAGUUGGGAAUUUUGCACAAUGGACGAAAGUCCGAUGCAGCAACGCCGCGUGCGGGAUGAAGAUUUUCGGAUUGUAAACCGCUUUUAUUUGGGAGUAACUGUUUGAACGUACCAAAUGAAUAAGCACCGGCUAACUCCGUGCCAGCAGCCGCGGUAAUACGGAGGGUGCAAACGUUGUCCGGAAUUACUGGGCGUAAAGCGCAUGUAGGUGGUCUAAUAAGUGAACGAUUAAAUACCGACGCUUAACGUCGGAAAGGUUAUUCAUACUGUUAGACUCGAGGAAGACAGGGGCAGAUGGAACUUUAAGUGUAGGAGUGAUAUCCGUAGAUAUUUAAAGGAACACCAAUGGCGAAGGCAGUCUGCUGGGUCUUUUCUGACACUGAGAUGCGAAAGUGUGGGGAGCAAACGGGGAUUAGAUACCCCGGUAGUCCACACUGUAAACGAUGCUCACUAGGUCUUGGAGGUAUCGUACCCCUUUAGGACCGAGCUAACGCGUUAAGUGAGCGCCGUCGGGUAGGUACGACGACAACGUUAAACUAACAAGAAGUAGACGGCGUGAGACGUGCCGACGGACGACACGAGGGAGUAGG